GACUAGCCCCGAUGGUCGCGGCAUCCUUUUCUUUUUUUCUUUAAAAAAGAAAAGAUACAGCAGACAGCGGGACCAAUC
rnacentral:sRNA from 1 species